AUCUGGGCGUAAGCGUACGCAGGCGGUUUGUUAAGCGAGAUGUGAAAGCCCCGGGCUCAACCUGGGAACUGCAUUUCGAACUGGCAAACUAGAGUGUGAUAGAGGGUGGUAGAAUUUCAGGUGUAGCGGUGAAAUGCGUAGAGAUCUGAAGGAAUACCGAUGGCGAAGGCAGCCACCUGGGUCAACACUGACGCUCAUGUACGAAAGCGUGGGGAGCAAACGGGAUUAGAUACCCCGGUAGUCCACGCCGUAAACGAUGUCUACUAGAAGCUCGGAACCUCGGUUCUGUUUUUCAAAGCUAACGCAUUAAGUAGACCGCCUGGGGAGUACGGCCGCAAGGUUAAAACUCAAAUGAAUUGACGGGGGCCCGCACAAGCGGUGGAGCAUGUGGUUUAAUUCGAUGCAACGCGAAGAACCUUACCUACACUUGACAUACAGAGAACUU
rnacentral:rRNA from 1 species